rnacentral:rRNA from 1 species
GAUGAACGCUGACAGAAUGCUUAACACAUGCAAGUCAACUUGAAUUUGGGUUUUUAACUUAGGUUUGGGUGGCGGACGGGUGAGUAACGCGUAAAGAACUUGCCUCACAGCUAGGGACAACAUUUGGAAACGAAUGCUAAUACCUAAUAUUAUGAUAAUAGGGCAUCCUAUAAUUAUGAAAGCUAUAAGCGCUGUGAGAGAGCUUUGCGUCCCAUUAGCUAGUUGGAGAGGUAACGGCUCACCAAGGCGAUGAUGGGUAGCCGGCCUGAGAGAGUGAUCGGCCACAAGGGGACUGAGACACGGCCCUUACUCCUACGGGAGGCAGCAGUGGGGAAUAUUGGACAAUGGACCAAGAGUCUGAUCCAGCAAUUCUGUGUGCACGAUGAAGUUUUUCGGAAUGUAAAGUGCUUUCAGUUGGGAAGAAAGAAAUGACGGUACCAACAGAAGAAGUGACGGCUAAAUACGUG